CACAGUAGUGUGUUAGAAUAGUAAGAACCCCACUCCACAGUAGUGUGUUAGAAUAGUAAGCCCCCCCACACCACAGUAUAGUGUUAGAAUAGUAAGCACCCCACACCACAGUCUAGUGUUAGAAUAGUAAGCCCCCCCCACACCACAGUAGUGUUAGAAUAGUAAGCACCCCACACCACAGUCGAGUGUUAGAAUAGUAAGACCCCCAAGGGCCUCCCGGGUGGCGCAGUGGUUAAGGGCGCUGUACUGCAGCGCCAGCUGUGCCAUCAGAGUCCCUGGGUUCGCGCCCAGGCUCUGUCGUAACCGGUCGCGACCGGGAGGUCUGUGGGGCGACGCACAAUUGGCCCAGCGUCGCCUGGGUUAGGGAGGGCUUGGUCGGUAGGGGUGUCCUUGUCUCAUCGCGCACCAGCGACUCCUGUGGCGGGCUGGGCGCAGUGUGCGCAAACCAAGGUGGCCAGGUGCACGGUGUUUCCUCCG
ensembl:lncRNA